UUCCAUGGAUGUAUGAGACAGAGGAGCUGAGCGACUGGCUAGUUUCUGUUUGAGUGAUUUUAUUUUCUUCUUUUACAUGUAUCAGAGAGCAAUAAAACGUGCGAAUACCAGGUCGGU